rnacentral:lncRNA from 1 species
AUGCAGGGUAAUAAUGCACAUUCGUCCAAGUCUCUGCCUGGUCUCUUCCAGCUUUGUCUCUAUAGGCAGUUUUUUGGGGGGGAAAUUAGAGAUAUAUAUUAUUGUACCUGGGGCCUUUUCCCCAGGGAAUCUAAAUGCCAUUGGGGGCGGGUCUCUGACCCAUUGGCAAUUUACAGAUCGAUAAGAACCAGAGGAAAAAAAUUAGGAAGUCUGAAACAAGGACACACUGGAUUUUUUUCCUGGCUGUUAAAAUGGAGCUGCUGGGCUGCAGGAGCAGGAGGUGACGGCGGUCCUGGGCUGCCGAGGCGACAGGCAGGGGAGCACGCCGCGGCCGGCGGGAAGCGUUUGGAGCUGCCCUGGAAAGGACAAGCACAACGCUUCCCUUGGGAGAUACAGGAUGGAAAGGGAAACGUGAAUCCCCAUCUAAUCACUGGCCAGGAGACGCACAGAGAUCCGUCAAAGAGCCCCGUGGCUCUGCGUCAGGGCUGCAGCCUGUCCUUUGUUAGGGCUAUUUAUUACGCUCCAAAUUUCCUACUGUGUUUUAACCUUGGGUUUUAUGAGCCCGUUUGCGGAAAGCCUCCAGCCGUGCCGCCCCUCCGGCCACCUUCUCCAGCCCCUCCGCCGGGUGAUGUGCGGGUUGUCACCUGUGUCCCGCAGCGCAGCAGCGGGCCUCGGGCUGCCAGUAGAGCCAGGCGGUGCCAUAACCCAUGUCCCGGUGGGCGAAGGAUGGACGGACCAGCUCGGACACGGCCGUUUCCAUCGAGGAUGCUCCCAACGGGCCAGCGGACAGAGUUGCCUCGGCUGCCCCGGUGCGUGCAAGCACCCGCGCACAUAAGUCACGGCCCUGCCCUCCCUGGAGAGCUGCUGGGCUUCUGGUCGUCACACCAGGGAGGGCACCUAACGAGGCACACGGUGGGGCACCUUCCUGGUAGGAAGUACAGAUGCCUCCUGGCUGGAGCCAGGGCUGGCAGCAGGAUUUUGUGGCGCUGGCCGAGGCCGAGGGCUGGUGCCGGCCGGCGCGGCUGCCUGCACACCGGGAAGGAGAAGGUGAGCCAUCGUGUGGGCAAGCAAACGGGUCCGCCUCGAUCGCCGGGAGGUUGGUGCAGACGCCUGCCCGAGCUUGUCGCUUCGUAG